rnacentral:rRNA from 1 species
ACAUGAUCGCAUGUGAUUGUGGGAAAGAUUCUAUCGGCGUGGGAUGGGGUCGCGUCCUAUCAGCUUGUUGGUGAGGUAACGGCUCACCAAGGCUUCGACGGGUAGCCGGCCUGAGAGGGCGACCGGCCACAUUGGGACUGAGAUACGGCCCAGACUCCUACGGGAGGCAGCAGUGGGGAAUAUUGCACAAUGGGCGCAAGCCUGAUGCAGCGACGCCGCGUGAGGGAUGGAGGCCUUCGGGUUGUAAACCUCUUUUGUUUGGGAGCAAGCCUUCGGGUGAGUGUACCUUUCGAAUAAGCGCCGGCUAACUACGUGCCAGCAGCCGCGGUAAUACGUAGGGCGCAAGCGUUAUCCGGAUUUAUUGGGCGUAAAGGGCUCGUAGGCGGCUCGUCGCGUCCGGUGUGAAAGUCCAUCGCUUAACGGUGGAUCUGCGCCGGGUACGGGCGGGCUGGAGUGCGGUAGGGGAGACUGGAAUUCCCGGUGUAACGGUGGAAUGUGUAGAUAUCGGGAAGAACACCGAUGGCGAAGGCAGGUCUCUGGCCGUCACUGACGCUGAGGAGCGAAAGCGUGGGGAGCGAACAGGAUUAGAUACCCUGGUAGUCCACGCCGUAAACGGUGGACGCUGGAUGUGGGGCACGUUCCACGUGUUCCGUGUCGGAGCUAACGCGUUAAGCGUCCCGCCUGGGGAGUACGGCCGCAAGGCUAAAACUCAAAGAAAUUGACGGGGGCCCGCACAAGCGGCGGAGCAUGCGGAUUAAUUCGAUGCAACGCGAAGAACCUUACCUGGGCUUGACAUGUUCCCGACGACGCCAGAGAUGGCGUUUCCCUUCGGGGCGGGUUCACAGGUGGUGCAUGGUCGUCGUCAGCUCGUGUCGUGAGAUGUUGGGUUAAGUCCCGCAACGAGCGCAACCCUCGCCCCGUGUUGCCAGCACGUUAUGGUGGGAACUCACGGGGGACCGCCGGGGUUAACUCGGAGGAAGGUGGGGAUGACGUCAGAUCAUCAUGCCCCUUACGUCCAGGGCUUCACGCAUGCUACAAUGGCCGGUACAGCGGGAUGCGACAUGGCGACAUGGAGCGGAUCCCUGAAAACCGGUCUCAGUUCGGAUCGGAGCCUGCAACCCGGCUCCGUGAAGGCGGAGUCGCUAGUAAUCGCGGAUCAGCAACGCCGCGGUGAAUGCGUUCCCGGGCCUUGUACACACCGCCCGUCAAGUCAUGAAAGUGGGCAGCACCCGAAGCCGGUGGCCUAACCCCUUGUGGGAUGGAGCCGUCUAAGGCGAGGCUCGUGAUUGGGACUAAGUCGGAACAAGGUA